AUACGGAGGAUCCGAGCGUUAUCCGGAUUUAUUGGGUUUAAAGGGUGCGCAGGCGGGAGAUUAAGUCGGCGGUGAAAUUUUGCAGCUCAACUGUAAAAGUGCCUUUGAAACUGGUUUCCUUGAGUGUAGAUGAAGUAGGCGGAAUUUGUGGUGUAGCGGUGAAAUGCAUAGAUAUCACGAGGAACUCCGAUUGCGCAGGCAGCUUACUAAACUACUACUGACGCUCAGGCACGAAGGCGUGGGGAUCAAACAGGAUUAGAUACCCUGGUAGUCCACGCAGUAAACGAUGAUUACUAGCUGUUUGCGAUACAAUGUAAGCGGCUGAGCGAAAGCGUUAAGUAAUCCACCUGGGGAGUACGUUCGCAAGAAUGAAACUCAAAUGAAUUGACGGGG
rnacentral:rRNA from 1 species